GAAGUGCAAACCUGCGAAAUGUGCAAUAAUGUACUCGCCGGUUUGUACUUCUUAUACUGUAUACAUGUGUGGACAGGAUGAGAGAGUCGAGUCGCUGCGGCUUUAAUUAACCGCCACUAAUUGCCUGCUCGGCGAUUUUUCAGGACGAGAGGGACGGCUGCAGAGUGCGGAGGACUGCUGACUGCUGAGCGAAAUGUGAUUUUUACUUGUGAUAAUCUGUAUGUAUGUAUGGAGAGGCGGACACGCGUGCUUUCGAGGGAGUUAGUCAUCUUGAUCGGACGUGUUUGUUUUCCGAUGCAUAUGCAUGUUUGCACGUCCUUUGUCGUUAUCGAUAAAGUCGUGUGGCUUGUUAAGCGGCGGAAGGGAAGAUUCUACAAGUUAUAUAACCUAUAUAUCGGACAUCGAGAGAAAGCGAAAAGCACGCAGCUCGCAGAUUCGUGAUCUCAUUGUGCGCCGUCCUCCUGGACAAUUUAAGCCGGAUACGUCCAUGUGCAGCGGUUUGCCCGAUGCUACUAUGAAAAUGGCGAGCAGCAUAUGUCGCAACUAAGGUGAACCAUAGAAAAGUCACCUGAGACAUAAUACCGCCAGCAACGAACCGGCCAUAUGCGAAUUCACGACACAGGAAAUCUUCAACAAUGACGCUUAUAAAUACUGUGAACUCUGUCUCUCUCGCUCUCUUCGCACAGAAGCUGCCGCAGGUGCCAAAGCAGCAGCUUUUUAUUAUACGCAGCCAAUCCAUCGGAAAACCGUAACAACAGCAGCAGCAGCAGCAACGGCGGCGGCGGCCAAGUGCACACAAGGUGCAGCAGCAGUCCUCCCCCUCAAAGUGCCCAAAGAGUUAUCCCUCUUCGAUCCGAUGCACAGACAAAAACGCCGCCACGGCAGUAGGCGUACAAACGAGCAGCCAAGGAGAAGAAGACAGUUUGAGUGAUGGGCCGGCAAGAUAAUGCGCACCUAGGCGCCGUAGAUCAGUGUCGCGCGCGCGCAUCUGCGCGUGCGGCCCCGUUUAUAACGCUUCGAUCUGCGCUCUCGGCCGGCUGCAUUGCCGUAUGGAGAUGCCUAUCGAGCGGAACCAACCCUUUUUUAUCUCUCUUCGAAAGCGGGGGCGCCGCCGCAUCUGGGGGCUCGCUCUCGCUCAUUAGCCUAAGCGGUACAAACGCUCGCCUCGAGCGAUGAGCGCGAAAAUUAUCGAGGCGGUUUAUCAGCGUCGCAUCGAUGAGGAUGUGGGCAGGAAGUGUGUAGUCGAAGGAGGAGGACAAUGCGAACGAGUUGCCUCGAAUUUUCUCUUGUCUAUACGCGUGUGCGUGCGCGAGGUGAUGCUUCGGGCCACCCGUAUUAUGAGGAUGUAUGCUAUGCGUAGAAUGGGAGAGAGAGAGAGAGAGAGAGAGACGCGUACAUUCAGAGGCAAAUGAGAGAGACGAGGUGAAUAGCGGGCGAGGAUGUAGACACCUGUACGCUACUACGCGGGUAUUAUGUCUUUCAAUCAGGUGCAGAGAUGUAUGUGUGUGUCUGCGUGUGUUUCAGAGGCGCGUCUAAUCUCGAGAGAGGUGUACGCUUCUGACUUUCUUUAUUUUGUGAGCGGCCUGUGUUGUACACGAAUAUUCUUCUCGGGGGAACGUGUAUUUGAGUGAGCGGAGCGCUCAUUGUGCGCUCUGAUAAAGAAUCUUCUUUUAAACAGAU